rnacentral:rRNA from 1 species
GACGAACGCUGGCGGCGUGCUUAACACAUGCAAGUCGAACGGAAAGGCCCUGCUUUUGUGGGGUGCUCGAGUGGCGAACGGGUGAGUAACACGUGAGUAACCUGCCCUUGACUUUGGGAUAACUUCAGGAAACUGGGGCUAAUACCGGAUAGGAGCUCCUGCUGCAUGGUGGGGGUUGGAAAGUUUCGGCGGUUGGGGAUGGACUCGCGGCUUAUCAGCUUGUUGGUGGGGUAGUGGCUUACCAAGGCUUUGACGGGUAGCCGGCCUGAGAGGGUGACCGGCCACAUUGGGACUGAGAUACGGCCCAGACUCCUACGGGAGGCAGCAGUGGGGAAUAUUGCACAAUGGGCGGAAGCCUGAUGCAGCAACGCCGUGUGCGGGAUGACAGCCUUCGGGUUGUAAACCGCUUUCGCCUGUGACGAAGCGUGAGUGACGGUAAUGGGUAAAGAAGCACCGGCUAACUACGUG